UGUUUUGGAUGCUUCUAUUGUCUUUUCUUGCUGUUUAUUUUCUUGAUCUUGCUCUUCUUCCUUUGGACCAGUAGCAACGAAUGAAGUCUGUCGCGCUGGUUCUCGAGAAAGAGAAUUGAGCGUCACUGGCCUUAAAUUCUG
rnacentral:ribozyme from 16 species